rnacentral:misc_RNA from 1 species
GUAGGUGAACCUGCGGAAGGAUCAAUAACAAAUCCAAAACACUCGUCUUGGCCAUACGGAAUAGCCCGGGCCUGGGGCGCGCUUUCUGGUGUGUGUCACCCAUCCUUCCUCGGAGGGCUGGGAUGGCAUGCCCCUAGGGGUCGUCACGGGGUCGUGCUGCUCUUUAUGGCCUACAUAGACAAAACAUACAAACAUUGACAACCGAACCAAAAUAUUUAUUGAUUAAAUGUUUUACAAACAACUUUUAACA